GAAAUAGUACAAGUAGUGGGUAUAAUUUAUGCCAUAUGCUUAAAUUCCUAUUUAGAUAAUUUGUUUGACAUCUUUUUUGACGGGACUAUAUUAACGUUACGCGGAAGAAUACUUCGUGCGAAGAGAACUUAUAUGCGUGAACAGUAGCUAACCGUGGCAUAGUGCAACUGAUGUUUCAUCAGUGAAGAGGUGAGUUGCUGUUAGUAAUAUGUGGGUGCUGUGGUGGAGGUGAUUCCUUGAUGAGCUUAAAAGUUUCUAACAACGAUGAAAGGUAAUGAUAUACAGGUUGCAAGGCUGUGCAAGAAAACUGGAAGCAGAGACAGUGUAAAAGAAUUGGGUUUGUUUCGGGAUUUGUGACGGUUCUUACUCAGUAAAAUAAUUAAAUGUAAUAAUGUAGAACUUUAUUUAAUAAAGACUUCCACAAAGUGAUAGCAAGUAAAGGUUUUGUGAAUAUUAGCUAAGUGCCUUAUCCUUACCCUACUUUAAGUAAAAUUACUCAGAAGAAAAUGACUGUGAUAUGUAGAGAAUUUAAUGUUGUUAUUAAUCUAGAUUCCAGCGCUCCUGAUUCACGGUGAAACAACUUCGUUGAUAGUAAAAGAAAAAUAGCUUUGAGUUGUGCUUGUCAACAUUGGCAGUCUGCAGUUAAAAACUGAAGAACAAUGAGAUGAUACCAGUGUUUCAUAUUUUCAACAUUGCCAGGUAUUCUGCACAUAGAUUUAGUUUUCUUGUCCUUGCAGACAAGCGGCAGCUACUGAACAUUGACAUGACUGUUGUAAAAGUUCUUAAACAUAAAUACUUUAAAUGUAGGCCCAACUUUUACAAGAUUUCUUGGAACUAUGAGCAUUUUAAUGGAAACACCAUUGAAUGCUUGGUAUACAGAUGAUAAACAUUGACAUUUCAGGAUGUGUUAAAAUAGCUUGCAGAUUAAGCAGUCAAGUUCAUCAUGAUAGCUGCAGUUAUGGAAGUGGAAUUUCAGAUUUGUUUUGGAAAAAUCCAUAUUUGUGGUAUGGUUGCACCUAAUCAGAUUUCCAAUAAAUUGUAUUCCUGCGCUAAGAUUAGUCAAGAACACGACAGGUGUCAUUGGCUAGUGCAUCAUAUACUGUGGAUCAUUAUAUGAAGCAUGUUGUUGAAGAGGGUAAGUGCCAGUUUCUCAUUAGCAUUCUAGUAUGGAAAUCUCGAGUAUCAAUAUUGACAUUAGUGCCAGUUAUACUUAGCUGAUGGGUAUUGGCAAAAGGAGAUGUAGUGUAUAUUCUUGUUUGUGCCUUUUAUUUGGAUUAAAAUUUGAGGUAAUAAAGGCUUUCUGGAAAUUUACUGAGUAGUAAGCGUGUAUUUUCUAGUGUCAAAUUUAAACGUAACUGCAAAGUUGCAGGGUAAUUUUCAAGAAGCUCUUUUUUGUGAGCCCAGUGCAAGGGAGACAUAUACCAGACUCAGGAAGAGGGUGGGGUGAGUAGUCAGAUAUGGUUCCAAGGCUUCAUGCAUUGGUAAGGGAAUGGGGUAUGACAUUACUAUUAAUGUUUCUUAAUUGAAUUGUGAGAAGGGAAGUGCAGCAGUGUAACACUUUUUUUAGGGUGUGCAGUUUUGAUUAAAAUUGCAUUCUUGGUCUAAAAAUGUUGCUUUUGAUAGUAGAGACCCCACAGGUGUAAUUAAAACGGGUACUAGAAAUAACUUUGUUACUUAUGACUUUUGCUACCUUUGCUUGCUCUGUAACCAUAUGGUGGCACAGUACAGCGUGACGAUAGAAAUUUACUUCCCUUGAGCUAUCUUUCUUUUAUUUCCAGAAUUCUAUGGCAGUGGUGCUCCAGAUGUGCGUUUUAUACCCAAGGCUAAUGAAAUAACUUGCCAGAGUAUGUCUCAAGUUGACUUUGUAGAAUGAUUUUUACUUAAUUAAAAUUUUGGUCUGUUGAGAGUGGAGUACAGUUUUACUAACAGCAGACAGAGUAGGGUCAUUUCCAAAAUUUAACACCGAUCUGGGAAGUCCAGCAUAGCAUUUCUUUAUGAAGUCAACAGAAGUGAUCUGCAGCCUAGCUGUGGGAUUUGGCCCACGAAGUAACAAGACUAUUAUCAUGCUAGACGUACUGGAACUAAUGCACACAGCUUUUUCACGCUGACAGGAUGUAGAAUGGCUUCUCGUAAAAGAAGAGAGAAUGCUUCACAUGCUGUCUUUGUGGAUUCUGUUGUUGAUAGGCUCAUUAUCAACGUAGCAAGUGAAAUUUCCAGAAUUGAAAUGUUUUCGGAUAAGGAAGGAGCUAAGAGAUCACCAGAUGACUGACUGUAAGUAAUAUCUUCAGUAUUUCACUAUACGGAGAAAUCCUUCAAUACUCCUAUGUUAUACACAGCUUAUGCAGAAAAAUUAUCGCAAGGUUAAUUCGGGAAUUUUCAUCAUUCUUGUUUUUGAGUACUAUAGUGUGUUAGCUGAAGUGUUGCAGUUUCAUCUAGUCUUGUAAGGAGCAUAUUGUGGGAUAUUUGCAGUAUAUUUCAUUCUGCUUAAAAGUUAAUGACAUUCGAAGUUGUAUUGCUCCUCUGAUCAUAUCUUUAUGGGUGAUCUGUAACUGGCCGUGCCACUGCAGGCUAGCUGACCGGUCAGUGUUGUCAAAAUUAAAUGCGCUGGUAAAGCUGUUGUCCCAUAUCAUUACUAAAUCAAUGUGCGUGUGAUGCAUUGCACAAAACUUACCCUUAUUAUACUUGACAGUACUCAAAACAGCUUGGCUGUAGUCCCACAUGAAAAGGAAAUCCGAUCCAGCAAAUGUGGAAGAAUACAUAGUACAUUGUUUAUAUCAGGUUUAAUCUUAUGAUGAAUGGAUUAUAGGUGGUAAUUUUGUUGAAUACUUGAACAAACCAAACUGAAAAUUCAUUUGGAACAAGACUUCUCCUUACUGUGUACUUACCGCUCUACCAGAUGAAAUUAACAUCACAAUUUGUUCACACUACAUUGACUCCUUUCGCAGUUCAGGAGAGAACGUCAACUUCUUAAAGUAAGGCAACACUUACGUGUUGAACAAUUUAUGAAAGUAUUUUCUAUAAUACAAAGCAACUCAUUUUGAUAUGUAAUUUUCUUUCCUUAAAUCUGCUUUAGUUUGUGAAACCUGCAGAACAUUGUACAUCAGUUUAAUGCAGGAUUCACACGACAUAAGAGUGCAUAAUAUUUUGCAGUUAGCAAGCUUGUGCUAACUCUGUCUUUUGUUCCAUUAUUAAAAAAAAAUGGCUCUGAGCACUAUGCGACUUAACUUCUGAGGUCAUUAGUUGCCUAGAACUUAAAACUAAUUAAACCU